AAUCAGGUAUAUUAGGUUGGUGCAAAAGUAAUUGUGGUUUUGGUCUUAAAACGUAAUGGUGAAAACCGCAAUUACUUUUGCACAAACCUAACAAA
ensembl:miRNA